AUUAAACGCUGGCGGCAUGCUUUACACAUGCAAGUCGAACGGUAACAGGCCGCAAGGUGCUGACGAGUGGCGAACGGGUGAGUAAUGCAUCGGAACGUGCCCAGUCGUGGGGGAUAACUACUCGAAAGAGUAGCUAAUACCGCAUACGAUCUAUGGAUGAAAGCGGGGGACCGUAAGGCCUCGCGCGAUUGGAGCGGCCGGUGUCAGAUUAGGUAGUUGGUGGGGUAAAGGCUCACCAAGCCAACGAUCUGUAGCUGGUCUGAGAGGACGACCAGCCACACUGGGACUGAGACACGGCCCAGACUCCUACGGGAGGCAGCAGUGGGGAAUUUUGGACAAUGGGCGCAAGCCUGAUCCAGCAAUGCCACGUGCAGGAAGAAGGCCUUCGGGUUGUAAACUGCUUUUGUACGGAACGAAACGGCUCUGGUUAAUACCCGGGGCUAAUGACGGUACCGGAAGAAUAAGCACCGGCUAACUACGUG
rnacentral:rRNA from 1 species